UACGUAGGGUGCAAGCGUUAAUCGGAAUUACUGGGCGUAAAGCGUGCGCAGGCGGUUUGUAAGUUUGUCGUGAAAGCCCCGGGCUCAACCUGGGAAUUGCGAUGAAGACUGCAAGGCUUGAAUCUGGCAGAGGGGGUAGAAUUCCGACGUGUAGCAGGUGAAAUGCGUAGAGAUGUGGAGGAACACCGAUGGCGAAGGCAGCCCCUGGGUCAAGAUUGACGCUCAUGCACGAAGCGUGG
rnacentral:rRNA from 1 species